rnacentral:rRNA from 1 species
UACGUAGGGGGCAAGCGUUGUCCGGAUUUAUUGGGCGUAAAGAGCGUGUAGGCGGCUAGACAGGUCCGCUGUGAAAACUCGAGGCUCAACCUCGAGACGUCGGUGGAAACCGUCUGGCUAGAGUCCGGAAGAGGAGAGUGGAAUUCCCGGGUGUAGCGGGUGAAAUGCGCAGAUAUCGGGGAAGAACACCCGUGGCGAAGGCGGCUCUCUGGGACGGUACUGACGCUGAGACGGCGAAAAGCGGUGGGGAGCGAACAGG